rnacentral:tRNA from 1 species
ACAGUCAUGGCCGAGUGGUUAAGGCGAUGCACUAGAAAUCCAUUGGGGUCUCCCCCACACAGAUUCGAAUCCUGUCAACUGCA